rnacentral:rRNA from 1 species
UACGUAGGGCGCAAGCGUUGUCCGGAAUUAUUGGGCGUAAAGAGCUCGUAGGCGGCUUGUCACGUCGGGUGUGAAAGCCCGGGGCUUAACCCCGGGUCUGCAUUCGAUACGGGCUAGCUAGAGUGUGGUAGGGGAGAUCGGAAUUCCUGGUGUAGCGGUGAAAUGCGCAGAUAUCAGGAAGAACACCAAUGGCGAAGGCAGCUCUCUGGGACGGUACUGACGCUGAGACGCGAAAGCGUGGGGAGCGAACGGG